AAAAUUGGUUAAUUUCCAGCUGGAUCAGUAUCCUGAGCCUGUUUUUCGCAUAGCCCUAUAAUCAUCUGUGCUGGUAAAACUGAAGUAUAGUGCAGGGACAAGCAACUGUGAGAGGACUCUGCUUGAGAAAGGACUUCCACCAAAAAUCUCCAUCGAACCGCAGCCGAGUCCUCGGCUCCGCCUAGCCUGAACCUCUGCAUAAUGCAAGACAGUUACAACUGUAAUUGCCUUAUGUUAGGAUCUCUUCCUUACAGGCACAACAUUUUAAAGAAGAAAAAUGAAAGAUAAUAAAUGAAAACAAAUACGCAAGCUACUGGAACAGCUAAUCUGUUUUCUCUCUCACUAUAGAUACGAGACUUAGAAGAAAACAACAAAACUAACUCAUUUUAGGAUGUCUGCUUGCCACAGUAGCUAGUAAGAAGUCAAUGGGCCAGAUCCAGAGCUGGUAAAAAUCGACACAGAAGUUAGUACGAUUACCCCAGGUUAAACUUCCUGGAGAGCCCAUUCACCAGUAGAGGCUGGAGGCUGAUUGCCUGGAGAGCAGCUCUGCAGAGAAGGACCUGGGAGUCCUGGUGGACAAUAAGCUAAACAUGAGCCAACAAUGUGUCCGUGUGGCAAAGAAGGCCAAUUGCAUCCUGGGCUGCAUUAGGAAGAGUAUUGCCAGCAGGUCGAGGGAGGUGAUCCUUCCCCUCUACUCAGCCCUGGUGAGGCCACAUCUGGAGUGCUAGGUCCAGUUCUGGCUUCCCCAGUACAAGAGAGACAUGGAGCUACUGGAGCAAGUCCACUGAAGGGCCACAAAGAUGAUUAAGGGACUGGAGCAUCUCUCAUAUAAGGAAAGGUUGAGAAAUCUGGGAUUGUCCAGUCUGGAGAAGAAAAAGCUCAGGAGGGAUCUGAUCAAUGUUCAUAAAUAUCUGAAGGGGGUGUGUGGAGAAGAUGGGGCCAGACUUUUCUCAGUGGUCCUCAGUGCCAUGAUGAGAGGCAAUGGGCACAAACUGAAACACAGGAAAUUCUGUCUGAACAUGAGAAAACAUUUUUUUUACUGUGAUAGUGGCUAUACACUGGAAAUAAAUGUUCAGAGAGGCUGUGGAGCCUCCAUUCUUG